rnacentral:misc_RNA from 1 species
ACAACAAAGCCGGUUUGCCUAAAGAGAAAUGAACAGAAUCAAUAGAAAUUUGUAAAGAACAUAUGGCGAAUGUUUAAAGGACAAAGGCUUCAUCUGAAACAAGGUUGCAAAGUAUUUUCAAAAGAUUUAAGUACAAUUUAGUACACUCUACGAAUCAGGAGUUACUAGACAGUCAACUCAGGACUGCG